AGCCGAAACGGGCGGAUUACGACCGCCCGUCUGCGGGGAACGACCGCCCCGCACCGAUGAUGGCAGGUCAAA
rnacentral:hammerhead_ribozyme from 1 species